GGAAUACCAAAAAGGUUCGAGAGGAUGCUUUUGAGAGAAUGGUGCAAUUAUUUGGCCUGUGGAAUUGGAAAAAUGUGAUGAGAUGGUUUAGCUAGCAAUGGGUUGGAAUGAGUUUGCAAAGCAUUACUCUAUCUAUGAGGGCCAAUUUUUGGUCUUCUAAUCUGAAGGGGACUCCAUUUUCCAUGUCACCAUAAUUGAUGAAAGGAUGUCCGAGAUAGAAUUUCAUCAAUCAAUGUCUAUGUGAGGAACCGAGCCUUAGCAAUUGUGGCAUUGUCUUGCUAAAAGUGGAAGAUGCCUUUGCUUGCUGUGAUGUUUCAGUCGAGCUUCAAGUCUGGGGGGAUGAAUUGCAUUUAGCCAAGUGUCCUCAGUUUUGUAUGGAAAUGGAAUUUGAUCAGGUUUGCAACGUUCAUGGCGAUUCCUAUGCACAUUCAUCAGCAGAGUUUGCGGAGGGACAAAAGUUCGAACUGCUCAUCACAAGAUUUUCCAGUUCCCAUGCACAUUCGUUACCAAAAAGUUUGGGGAGGGAUAGAAGUUCAAACUGCUCAUCAUGAGAUUUUCCAGAUAAGCUGAAAAAGCAGCGCUUAUGCAGAGCUCUCGAACCGGCCAUCAAAUUUAUACUCGAUUAUCUUUUCUUUGAAAUUGCAGUGAGGUUAAUACAUCUGAAGAAAAACAAUGUGGUAGGAUCCUUGUAAUAAUGACAACUCUUGGAUUUAAAUCACAUAAAGCAACCUCAUAGUGUCUUCCUCAGAAAUCAUCGGUUGUUUUCUUCUUUGUAAUGACAAAAUUGCGCAAUGUCUACUUGAGCAGAGAGUUCCUGAUUCAUUCCCAAAGACACACGUUAAUAAAAGCCCGCAGACCAUUGAAGCUCAUCAGCCACGAGCAUUAUGGAAAGUCAUCUGCCCGUUGGGCCGCAUUCAUGAGAGAAACUUCUCUGAAGGUGGAAGAUGUAUGUGUUCGAGCUUUAUUGAAAGGGACAAAUAUCGUGUUCAGAGUAUCCAUCUUCAGAACCACUGAUAAGAAUUGGGUGUAUAAUAAUACUAUGCAAUACGAUAAAGCCGAGGAAGCAUCACCUUAGCUCACUUUUGGUGGAACAGAACUUACAGAAUUUCUACCCUGAAUUCUGCUUCCGGUUCGGCAAAAUGGAUGAAAGCAUGAGUUUUGUUCCAAUGUAUGGAAUGGUCCUGAACGUGUGCGAUACCUUUCCUUGAUCCUGGACUUAGUGAUCACCAUGAGGGCAAGAGUCGUGAGUUGGAGGGAGCUGAUAACAAAUGUCGGUUCUGUAACUUCCAUUUCUAGAGAUGAUCUUUCAAAUAUUGGUGCUUUUUUAAUGUUUCCGGCGGCUCAACCUGACCUUCAAAAUUGUAAAUGGAAGUAAUGAUGAUUUUACAAGCUCCGGUGAACUUACAUCAAAUUCUUUUCAUCGUC